CAAAGGUGAGCCAGUACAGGAUGGACCCGCGUCUGAUUAGCUAGUUGGUAAGGUAACGGCUUACCAAGGCGACGAUCAGUAGCCGACCUGAGAGGGUGAUCGGCCACAUUGGAACUGAGACACGGUCCAAACUCCUACGGGAGGCAGCAGUGGGGAAUAUUGCACAAUGGGCGAAAGCCUGAUGCAGCAACGCCGCGUGAGUGAUGAAGGCCUUCGGGUCGUAAAACUCUGUCCUCAAGGAAGAUAAUGACGGUACUUGAGGAGGAAGCCCCGGCUAACUACGUGCCAGCAGCCGCGGUAAUACGUAGGGGGCUAGCGUUAUCCGGAUUUACUGGGCGUAAAGGGUGCGUAGGCGGUCUUUCAAGUCAGGAGUGAAAGGCUACGGCUCAACCGUAGUAAGCUCUUGAAACUGGGAGACUUGAGUGCAGGAGAGGAGAGUGGAAUUCCUAGUGUAGCGGUGAAAUGCGUAGAUAUUAGGAGGAACACCAGUUGCGAAGGCGGCUCUCUGGACUGUAACUGACGCUGAGGCACGAAAGCGUGGGGAGCAAACAGGAUUAGAUACCCUGGUAGUCCACGCUGUAAACGAUGAGUACUAGGUGUCGGGGG
rnacentral:rRNA from 1 species